CAUUUGGAUAUGGGGCGUAAUUUAACUUGGACUACAACUGAUUGAUGUAGAUUGGUGCAUUGAAGGGGAUCAGUUUGUAGUAAUGGGUAUCAUCAAUGUUUCCUUGUGCCAAUUGGUUUCAGAAAUUAAAUCUGAAGUAUGGGCAUCAGUAUACGGACGAAGGGUUCUUGGCCUGAGUCAAGUUUGUACAAAAAAACAGGAUGCGUGUGCAGCAGCUCCAUCCAAGACACAUAUGUGCCAUCCAGGGGAAAUACCUUCAUACCAUGUUCGGUUUAAAUCCCUGUCAAUUGAUAUUUGAUAGUACACUAGAAAUUCCUCAUCCAAUUCCUAUGCUAUUCUAAUGUUACUUUAUGUUAAGACCAGAUGUGAAUAAUCUGUUAAGUGAUUCUUGUUUUGGUAUAUGCAGGUGGACGGUGUUUGGUUUGUUCUUUCAACUCUUGAUUCCUGAGCUACUACUGGAUCUUGCAUCUGUGUUUAGCUAGUAGAGUAUAAAAUGCAAAUGCUUAUGACCCGGACUAUGAAUGAUUGUUUUAAUGUUGCUCAUCUAUUGCAAUGAUUGUCUAAGCUCAAAAUAGUAAUCAUUACUGUCUCUUGCUUUAGUAUAUACAUAUGGAAUUUGUUGCAGUGACAUUAUAGUUUAAACUCAAAAUAUACAUGAUAUACAUAAUUUAAUUUCUGUUGGCAAAUAUGGAAUGACUGUCCAGAUUAAAAUAUGCUCGAUAAUGGUUUGUGGUUUGUCUGAAUCUGAUAAGUGACAAUAUGUCAUUCUUCAUGUUGUGAGAUAGUAUUAUCUUUGCAAAGAAACGAACUGCUUCUAGACUAUGUUAUCCCGUUUGGUGGAGUGAAGGGUUUUUCCUUAACUACAGUUAGCACAAGUGAACCUUCAUGAUUUAAUCUUCCAAGGCUCGUUU
rnacentral:lncRNA from 1 species